rnacentral:rRNA from 1 species
UGGGUGCGCGGUAGGAGAGCGUUCUAAGGGCGUUGAAGGUCGAUCGUGAGGACGGCUGGAGCGCUUAGAAGUGAGAAUGCCGGCAUGAGUAGCGAAAGAUCAGUGAGAAUCUGAUCCACCGUAUGACUAAGGUUUCCUGGGGAAGGCUCGUCCUCCCAGGGUUAGUCGGGAUCUAAGGCGAGGCCGCAAGGCGUAGUCGAUGACAAGCAGGUUGAGAUUCCUGCACUAGUUUAUUUUGUUUAAGCGAUGGAGGGACGCAGGAGGCUAAGGAAAGCGCACGGCUGGAAAAGUGCGUCCAAGCAGUAAGUCCGGUGGCGAGUGAAAUGCUUGCCGCCUUAAGGACAAGCUGUGAUGGGGAGCGAAAUUAAAGUAGCGAAGUUCCUGAUGUCACACUGCCAAGAAAAGCUUCUAGUGAGAAAUAAACUACCCGUACCGCAAACCGACACAGGUAGUCGAGGAGAGUAUCCUCAGGUGAGCGAGCGAACUCUCGUUAAGGAACUCGGCAAAAUGACCCCGUAACUUCGGAAGAAGGGGUGCUGACCGCAAGGUCAGCCGCAGUGAAUAGGCCCAAACAACUGUUUAUCAAAAACACAGGUCUCUGCUAAAUCGUAAGAUGAUGUAUAGGGGCUGACGCCUGCCCGGUGCUGGAAGGUUAAGAGGAUGAGUUAGCGCAAGCGAAGCCCAGAAUUGAAGCCCCAGUAAACGGCGGCCGUAACUAUAACGGUCUAAGGUAGCGAAAUUCCUUGUCGGGUAAGUUCCGACCCGCACGAAAGGCGUAAUGAUUUGGGCACUGUCUCAACGAGAGACUCGGUGAAAUUAUAGUACCCGUGAAGAUGCGGGUUACCCGCGACAGGACGGAAAGACCCCAUGGAGCUUUACUUAGCUUGAUAUUGAGUGUUGGUACCGCUUGUACAGGAUAGGUAGGAGCCGUAGAGAUCGGAACGCUAGUUUCGAUGGAGGCAUUGGUGGGAUACUACCCUAGCUGUAUGAACACUCUAACCCGCGCCACUAAUCGUGGCGGGAGACAGUGUCAGGUAGGCAGUUUGACUGGGGCGGUCGCCUCCUAAAAUGUAACGGAGGCGCCCAAAGGUUCCCUCAGAAUGGUUGGAAAUCAUUCGCAGGGUGUAAAGGUAGAAGGGGGCUCGACUGCGAGACUGACAAGUCGAGCAGGGACGAAAGUCGGGCUUAGUGAUCCGGUGGUUCCGUAUGGAAGGGCCAUCGCUCAACGGAUAAAAGCUACCCUGGGGAUAACAGGCUUAUCUCCCCCAAGAGUCCACAUCGACGGGGAGGUUUGGCACCUCGAUGUCGGCUCAUCGCAUCCUGGGGCUGUAGUCGGUCCCAAGGGUUGGGCUGUUCGCCCAUUAAAGCGGUACGCGAGCUGGGUUCAGAACGUCGUGAGACAGUUCGGUCCCUAUCCGUCGCGGGCGCAGGAAAUUUGAGAGGAGCUGUCCUUAGUACGAGAGGACCGGGAUGGACGUUCCGCUGGUGUACCAGUUGUGCCGCCAGGCGCAUCGCUGGGUAGCUAUGAACGGAAGGGAUAAACGCUGAAAGCAUCUAAGUGUGAAGCCCCCCUCGAGAUGAGAUUUCCCAUUCCUAUAUGGAAGUAAGACCCCUGAAAGAUGAUCAGGUAGAUAGGCUGGAAGUGGAAGUGCAGCGAUGCAUGGAGCGGACCAGUACUAAUCGGUCGAGGACUUAACCAA